rnacentral:snoRNA from 1 species
AUCAUCAGUAGUGGUUAAUACUAUCUCAAGAUAAUAUUAAUUACCAAAUUAUAGAAACCUAAAGGUUCGAUUAUUUGUGUUUUUCAUGUUGUGAAGUUGGAGAAUGGUAUGAAGCUUGCUUCGUAUUGUUCACUUUCAUUGCAAUAAGUUAAUACUGAAACACUAAAUUUUUGAAACCAAUAUCAUAACCCAUAGCUGAGUAGAUUCUGACUAGCUCCAAACAAGCUGGGCACAGAAUUCACUUCGUUUCCGGUUUCUUAGAUUAACUUUAUAUAAUGAGGAAGGUUUUCCCAGGAAAAUAAGUUGCAUGUUUGCCAGAGGAUAGUAUAAUGCUAUCUGAGAGUUUGGAUUCUAUGGUGCCUCUUCUUCAUGAUAAGACUAUU